rnacentral:rRNA from 1 species
GACGUAGGAUGCGAGCGUUGUCCGGAUUUAUUGGGCGUAAAGAGUUCGUAGGUGGUUUGUUAAGUCUGAUGUUAAAGACUGAGGCUCAACCUCGGAAAUGCAUUGGAUACUGGCAGACUUGAGUGCAGUAGAGGCAAGUGGAAUUCCCAGUGUAGCGGUGAAAUGCGUAGAUAUUGGGAAGAACACCAGUGGCGUAAGCGACUUGCUGGGCUGUAACUGACACUGAGGAACGAAAGCCAGGGGAGCGAAUGGG